GAUCCUGGCUCAGGAUGAACGCUAGCUACAGGCUUAACACAUGCAAGUCGAGGGGAAACGAUAUUGGAAGCUUGCUUCCGAUAGGCGUCGACCGGCGCACGGGUGAGUAACGCGUAUCCAACCUGCCCAUCACUUGGGGAUAACCUUGCGAAAGUAAGACUAAUACCCAAUGACGUCUCUAGAAGACAUCUGAAGGAGAUUAAAGAUUUAUCGGUGAUGGAUGGGGAUGCGUCUGAUUAGCUUGUUGGCGGGGUAACGGCCCACCAAGGCGACGAUCAGUAGGGGUUCUGAGAGGAAGGUCCCCCACAUUGGAACUGAGACACGGUCCAAACUCCUACGGGAGGCAGCAGUGAGGAAUAUUGGUCAAUGGGCGAGAGCCUGAACCAGCCAAGUAGCGUGCAGGAUGACGGCCCUAUGGGUUGUAAACUGCUUUUAUAAGGGAAUAAAGUGGGAGUCGUGACUCUUUUGCAUGUACCUUAUGAAUAAGGACCGGCUAAUUCCGUG
rnacentral:rRNA from 1 species